AUGUGUACAUUUGGUCAAGACAGUCUCCGCAGGAAGUGACGUAAGACCCCAAAAGACUCGCGUGAACUCCUAUACCAGCCCCAGCCUUACUUAGCUUGAGGAUGUGUUUGUUAUUCCUCUGAAAUGGAGACUCAGGGGAACUAUAACAGGAAGUAGCAUUGGCAUCCGAGCAGUACCCAGCCAGAAGCCCAUAAUGCCCUACUCUGGGGUACAUCCAGUUGCAAGGUGAAGUCUACCCCACCCCUCAGCAAAAUGCUAAGGUGAUGGAAUCCCGCUCCUGCAGAGGUGGAGCCAGGAUUUUCUCCAUUCUGAAUCACCAUGAAACUUGGAAUUGUGUCCUCAGUUUCUUCCACGGGCACAGAACACAGGUCCUAGCCCAGGAGGGCAUCUUGCUACAGAAUGCCUGAAACACCAGCUCUGGGCACUAUGGUGCAUCCCAGAGGGAACUUCCUCUUCUACCUGGAGACCACACACCCCUGAGCCUCAUCCUGCUGAACUGCCAUGAGGAGCUCCACCUUAGGACCACAAACCCCAUGCCUUUACUAUCCUGAUCCCUGGGGAGAAAGCAAGGGGGAGGGCUGGGGGGCUACAAGCUAGCCAUAGAAAACAAGAACUGGAUGAUUGAUUGUGUGCACCUGCUGAGAUGAACUGAAGGCAGCCAGUCCACCCUAGAAGCCCAGUACCAGGAACUGCACCAAGCUGCUGACCAAGUAGCUCAAUCUGAAGACUGGCUUUACAGCCCUGCUUAGCCUCCCUUUAGCUUCUAGGAGUACACAAGCAAGUUGGAAUGUUCUCAGUACUCUGAGCUGUGCAGAGGGUCCCAGGAGGCCCCAAGCAAAGCUGCAGCAGGAGCUGGACCACUAUGCUUGUUGAUGAGAGAUGUAGCAAGGGUCUGGAUAUACCUGCCAAGAUCAGCAGACUGCACCUAUUGGGAC